UACGUAGGGGGCAAGCGUUGUCCGGAUUUAUUGGGCGUAAAGAGCUCGUAGGCGGUUGGGCAAGUCACGUGUGAAAUCUCCACGCUCAACGUGGAGGCGCCACGUGAGACUGCCCUGACUCGAGUCCGGUAGGGGAGCGUGGAAUUCCCGGUGUAGCGGUGAAAUGCGCAGAGAUCGGGAGGAACACCCGUAGCGAAGGCGGCGCUCUGGGCCGGUACUGACGCUGAGGAGCGAAAGCCAGGGGAGCAAACGGG
rnacentral:rRNA from 1 species